CCCUGAUCGUGGUGUUGGUUAUACAAACGUAUGCAUGUGUUACAAAUUUGUAACGCUGUACAUCAGGAAGUCAUUUUGAUGUAUGAGAAUUAAAAAUAAAAUUAAUCAAGAAAAAAUGAUCGAUAAGAAUAUAAAGCCAGAAAAUAAAUGUAUCUACAGAUACCUAGAUUUUAAUAUACCAUUUCCCUCUCUCUACUGUAGUUCUCUUCUGGGCCCUUCACUGGGUGAACUCAGUGAAAGAGUAACAUCACAGCGGAUAUCCAGUGAGGAGGGAGAAGAUUUGAUAAAGUAUUUAUUGGCUACAUUUUUCCUUAUGGGCAUCUAGCCAUCAUCAUUCCGUGGGAGGUGAAAUCUAAGGCAAACUCAGAGAAAUGGUUAUGAAUCCAUAAGAAGGAGACUAAUAAACAAAUGCACACAGAUAUGCA
rnacentral:lncRNA from 1 species